AGAGCGAACGCUGGCGGCAGGCUUAACACAUGCAAGUCGAGCGCCCCGCAAGGGGAGCGGCAGACGGGAGAGUAACACGUGGGAACGUACCUUUCGGUUCGGAACAACCCAGGGAAACUUGGGCUAAUACCGGAUACGUCCGUAAGGAGAAAGAUUUAUCACCGAAAGAUCGGCCCGCGUCUGAUUAGCUAGUUGGUGAGGUAACGGCUCACCAAGGCGACGAUCAGUAGCUGGUCUGAGAGGAUGAUCAGCCUCACUGGGACUGAGACACGGCCCAGACUCCUACGGGAGGCAGCAGUGGGGAAUAUUGGACAAUGGGCGCAAGCCUGAUCCAGCCAUGCCGCGUGGGUGAUGAAGGCCCUAGGGUUGUAAAGCCCUUUCAGCACAGACGAAGCUGACUCCACGUGUGGGGUGGGUGACGGUAUGGUGCAGAAGAAGCACCGGCCAACUACGUGCCAGCAGCCGCGGUAA
rnacentral:rRNA from 1 species